GGGUAAGCUACUAAGGGCACACGGUGGAUGCCUUGGCGCCAGGAGCCGAUGAAGGACGGGACGAACACCGAUAUGCCCCGGGGAGCUGUAAGUGAGCGUUGAUCCGGGGAUGUCCGAAUGGGGGAACCCGCCAGCUUGAAGAGCUGGCACCGCCAUCUGAAUCCAUAGGAUGGACGGGGGCAUACCAGGGGAACUGAAACAUCUUAGUACCCUGAGGAAGAGAAAGCAAACGCGAUUCCCUGAGUAGCGGCGAGCGAAACGGGAACAGCCCAAACCGGCUGGCUUUGCCAACCGGGGUUGUAGGACGUCUCACACGGAGUCACAAAGGUGACGGAUAGAUGAAGUGGUUCUGGAAAGACCCGCCAAAGAAGGUAACAGCCCUGUAAUCGAAAUCGGUCACCCUCCGAGACGGAUCCUGAGUACCACGGGACCACGUGAAMCCCUCGUGGGAAGCAGGGAGGACCACCUCCCAAGGCUAAAUACUCCCUGGCGACCGAUAGUGAACCUUUCCCUCACGGUACUGGUUCACUAUCG
rnacentral:ncRNA from 1 species